rnacentral:piRNA from 1 species
UCACAGGCAUGAUAACGACUCUCAUAUGUGA